UGUAUUAUUGUAGACCUCUGCUUAAGUGAAUCAACAUAGAGCCUGAGCACUAUGUUAACAAAAAGGAUCUGAUUAAUGAUAAAUAAACAACCAGUAUCCUGCAGCCAACACUGAUACUGAGAGUAGUACCAUUGAAUUAAUUUCAUGCUACAGGGUGGAGUACGAGGAACAAACAUAAAUAUUGGAGGCAUCAAAAAAGCUAAUAUGCAUCUGAAGCAUUGAAUAUAGCUGACCAGACAACAAAAAAUCAGCUGCUCACCUUGAAGUUCUUGAAUAUAAGACUCCGAUAUGUGACCAUUCCGAUAUUCAUAUAUAGCUAAAUACAGAAAGCUUAGUAUUGUAUAAUGUGCACUGGGGC
rnacentral:lncRNA from 1 species